rnacentral:rRNA from 1 species
UACAGAGGUCUCAACCGUUGUUCGGAUUCAUUGGGCGUAAAGGGCUCGUAGGCGGCCAACUAAGUCGGACGUGAAAUCCCUCGGCUCAACCGGGGAACUGCGUCCGAUACUGGAUGGCUCGAGUUCGGGAGAGGGAUGCGGAAUUCCAGGUGUAGCGGUGAAAUGCGUAGAUAUCUGGAGGAACACCGGUGGCGAAGGCGGCAUCCUGGACCGAUACUGACGCUGAGGAGCGAAAGCCAGGGGAGCAAACGGG